rnacentral:rRNA from 1 species
UACAGAGGUCUCAAGCGUUGUUCGGAUUCAUUGGGCGUAAAGGGUGCGUAGGUGGCGCCAUAAGUCAGGUGUGAAAUCUCGGGGCUUAACUCCGAAACUGCAUUCGAUACUGCCGUGCUUGAGGACUGGAGAGGAGACUGGAAUUUACGGUGUAGCGGUGAAAUGCGUAGAUAUCGUAAGGAAGACCAGUGGCGAAGGCGGGUCUCUGGACAGUUCCUGACGCUGAGGCACGAAGGUCAGGGGAGCAAACGGG